GCAUUCGUCCGAAACGAAUUGCUGGGGGUCGGAGGGGAGAAACGGAAUAACGGAAAACACAGAGAAAUGAACAACAAAACAUGGAACAAGGACUAACAGCUGGACGAAAGGGUCACACCACGGGUUAAACUAUGAGCAAACAGUCAUGGCUACGGUCACAUGUGUCAUAUGCCAGCUUUAGCCGAAUAGUUCUCCGAAAGAAACCCUGCAGAUUGAUAUACAGUUUAUUAAAGAAUGUGGACCACUGA